UACAGAGGGUGCAAACGUUGUUCGGAAUUACUGGGCGUAAAGCGCGUGUAGGCGGCUUUGCAAGUCGGACGUGAAAGCCCACGGCUCAACCGUGGAAGUGCAUUCGAAACUGCAGAGCUGGAGUCCUGGAGAGGAAGGUGGAAUACUCGGUGUAGAGGUGAAAUUCGUAGAUAUCGAGUGGAACACCGGUGGCGAAGGCGGCCUUCUGGACAGGUACUGACGCUGAGACGCGAAAGCGUGGGGAGCAAACAGG
rnacentral:misc_RNA from 1 species